AGGACGAACGCUGGCGGCGUGCCUAACACAUGCAAGUGGAGCGACGAACCAGGCUUCGGCCUGGGGCAGAGCCGCGAACGGGUGAGUAACACGUGGGCAACCUGCCCCUAGCUCUGGGAUAACCCCGGGAAAUCGGGACUAAUACCGGAUAUGAAGUCGGACGGCAUCGUCUGACUUGGAAAGUUUUUCGGCCAGGGAUGGGCCCGCGGCCUAUCAGCUUGUUGGUGGGGUAAUGGCCUACCAAGGCGACGACGGGUA
rnacentral:rRNA from 1 species